rnacentral:rRNA from 1 species
UGAAAUGCUUUAAAUAUUACAUGGAAUACCAAUUUGCGAAGGAGGGUUACUACUAAGGAUUGACGCUGAUGGACGAAAGCGUGGGGGAGCGAACAGGAUUAAUACCCUGGUAGUCCACGCCGUAAACGAUGGGAUACUAGCUUUUCGGAGCAAUCUGAGUGGCUAAGCGAAAGUGAUAAGUAUCCCACCUGGGGAGUACGCACGCAGUGUGAAA